GAUGAAGAACGCAGCGAAAUGCGAUACGUAAUGUGAAUUGCAGAAUUCAGUGAAUCAUCGAGUCUUUGAACGCACAUUGCGCCCCCUGGUAUUCCGGGGGGCAUGCCUCUUCCAGCGUCAUUUCACCCCUCAAGCUCUGCUUGGUUUUGGGCCGCGCCGGCAACGGCGGGCCUCGAAAAUAGUGGCGACGCCAUCGUGCUCUCAGCGUAGUAAUUCUUCUCGCUGUUGGGUCCCGGUGGUCGUCCGCCAGCAACCCCCAACUUUCUUAAGUUUGACCUGGGAUGAGGUAGGGAUACCCGCUGAACUUAAGCAUAUCAAUAAGCGGAGGA
rnacentral:misc_RNA from 1 species